GGCGGGUGGCACGGGCGGCGAUGGAGUGGGGCCCCGGCGCAGGCUGGUCACGGGGGUGAGAGCGGGCCCGCGGGGCGGUGGGUUGGGGCCGCGACCUCGCGCCUCCCAGCGCCGGCCCUGACGCGGUCUCUCUCCCGGGCAGGGAGGCUGCCGGCGUGGACCGUGGGAAGGCGGGGCUGGGGCUCGGCGGGAGGCCACCCCCGCAGCCGCCCCGAGAUGAACGCGCCCAGCAGCUGCUGGACGCCGUGGAACAGCGGCAGCGGCAGCUCCUGGACACCAUCGCCGCCUGCGAGGAGAUGCUGCGGCAGCUGGGCCGGCGGCGCCCGGAACCGGCUGGUGGCGGGAACGGUUCAGCCAAGUCCGGAGCGUCGCCCCAGCCAUCUGUAUCCACCAGAGGUGGCCUUCCAAAGGAUGCUGGCGAUGGAGCUGCAGAGUCUUGAUCAUUCCCUAUACGGGCACCCUGACUUCUGUCCCUUUCCAGGGCCGAUGGCUGGACUCUGACCAACUCCCUUCACCAAAAGGGGCCAGUCUUCACUGGCAGUUGCUGGUACUUGGCCCUCAGCCU
rnacentral:lncRNA from 1 species